rnacentral:rRNA from 2 species
UGGUAAAGCCGCGAAUGGCUCAUUACAACAGCCUUAGUUUAUUGGAUCUUAAGGUCCUACUUGGAUACCUGUGGAAAAUCUAGAGCUAAUACACGCAAUUAAGCCCUAACCUGACGGACAGGGCGCAUUUAUUAGAACAAAACCAAUUGGCUUCGGCCAUCUAUUGGUGAAUCUGAAUAACUAUGCUGAUCGCACGGUCUCGUACCGGCGACGUAUCCUUCAAGUGUCUGCCUUAUCAACUUUCGAUGGUAGUAUAUAGGACUACCAUGGUUGUAACGGGUAACGGAGAAUAAGGGUUCGACUCCGGAGAGGGAGCCUGAGAAACGGCUACCACUUCCAAGGAAGGCAGCAGGCGCGCAAAUUACCCACUCUCAGAACGAGGAGGUAGUGACGAAAAAUAACGAGACAGAUCUCUAUGAGGUCUGUCAUCGGAAUGGGUACAAUUUAAACCCUUUAACGAGGAUCUAUUGGAGGGCAAGUCUGGUGCCAGCAGCCGCGGUAAUUCCAGCUCCAAUAGCGUAUAUUAAAGUUGUUGC